AGAUUGAACGCUGGCGGCAUGCCUAACACAUGCAAGUCGAACGGGAGUAGCAAUACUCUAGUGGCGGACGGGUGAGGAAUACGUAGGAAUUUGCCCUUAAGUGGGGGAUAACCCGGGGAAACCCGGAUUAAUACCGCAUGACCUCGAAAGAGCAAAGUGGGGGAUCGCAAGACCUCACGCUUUUGGAGAAGCCUACGUCGGAUUAGCUAGUUGGUGAGUAAUGGCUCACCAAGCGACGAUCCGUAACUGGUCUGAGAGGAUGAUCAGUCACACCGGAACUGAGACACGGUCCGGACUCCUACGGGAGCAGCAGGUGGGGAAUAUUGGGACAAGUGGGCGCAAGCCUAGAUCCGAAGCAAUCGACCGCGUGUGUGAAGAACGGCCGUUCGGGUUAGUAAAGUCGUAACGUUUAAGUUAGGGAAAGAAAAAACUACGACGUACCUAAACAC
rnacentral:rRNA from 1 species